GGGGGGAAGGAGCAGGGUGCUGGCGACGACCACAGAACUUAACCUCGCCUGCCCUCCUCCUAGGCUACCCGCGAGACUACAGGACGUACAGGCCGUGCAGGGGGAGGCUGAGGGGCGGCGUCCGGUUCGCGGCGAGGAGGCGCAGGAGGGCGGCGCCGCCGUUCCGGCGCCUCUAGCUGCUCGUCCGCGACCGGCGGCGGCGCCGCGAGCACGACCCCGUCGCGCCUCCCCCUCCGCGCAAGCUGGCCAGGCGCAGCCACGCCAUGCGGCGCUUCGCCGUCGUCGUCCCGGGCGGCGACGGGUCCUCGAGGUCGUGCGCGGGCGCGAGGGAGCGGCUGGGGCUCGAGGUCGGCGUCGUGGAGGAGCGGUUCCUCAACUUAUGAUUUCUAAACCUUUGGUUGUAUUAACAAGAACAAGUGCCUCCACCCAAACCACGAACCACAACCAUGUUCUGGUACAGUGAAGAACUUCUAUCACCCAAGUUUCAGUUACGAUAACUGAAUUGUCCGAGGCCCUAAUUAAGAAGACUGUGUUUGUUCUAAUCGUCAGAAAGUCUCAUACGACUCGGUGAAUGUAGAAUGGAAUUCCCGGAUCCACUACGACUUUUCCAAUAGAACCAACCUGUACUAAAACCCCCACGAACGUAUAGGGUACGCUACCUCUACAAAGGUAGCUUUCAACGGUUCCGACAAAAGGACACACGUUGUUACGACUGUUUACCUGUAUCACGAGAACUAUAGAAGGUUGUUGUCUACCUAUGUUUACCAUACGAGGUUUUCCGUGUCCUUAAUCAUAUGAGGUUACCGUUCCUGGCCGGAGGGUGGCGAUAGUUGUAGCUGUCCCGAAGUCAUUCUCUAGAUAAUAAGUUGGUUUCAGGACGGUUCCUACACAGGAACCGAAGUCACAGGUACUCUGGAUAGGGGAAACGGGGCCAUUACCUCUUUGAGUGCGAUUGUCUUCCCUUGAUGCCUAGGCACGCCGCUAAGAAACAGCUCUGUUGCCUCCUGUUGCGCUAUGGGGAAAGGGAAGUCGUCUCGUACACACACUCAUUGGGCGGUCUCUUCCAGGACGCCGACUUUCCAAGUCUGGUGCGGGGAAAGAAGAGCUCCGGCGUCCGCAACGUGUUUUGCGACCAUCUCUAUCGUUGGGACGGCGCUCGUGUCCGUAGUACUCUCGAACAAGAGCCAGUCUAAUAAGAAAAGUCGGCCGCUCUAGCGGUACUAACAAGGGUACUGACGACGACGACAUAUAAAACCCUACUCUCAUACGACCUCCGUUUUACGAUUCCAAACCUUCGGCAACAUGUCCACAUUCGUCGUCUCAUCCUCGAGACCUAAAGUUGGAAUAGAGGUGCUAAUGUGGAAAGGACAGACGUUACUGUAUGUAUGAGUAGUAGCUAAGUAGCAAUUGAAUUACGUGCACAUUCACAUGAUGUCGGUUACACUCCUUUUUAUCUCCUUUUAUUAUGAUUGUCAAAAUAAA
rnacentral:rRNA from 1 species